GAUGAACGCUAGCGGGAGGCUUAACACAUGCAAGUCGAGGGGCAGCACGGGGUAGCAAUACUCUGGUGGCGACCGGCGCAUGGGUGAGUAACACGUAUGCAACUUACCCUGUACUGGAGGAUAACCCGGAGAAAUUCGGACUAAUACUCCAUGAUGAUAUUGAGGGGCAUCCUUUGAUAUUUAAAGCUCAGGCGGUACGGGAUGGGCAUGCGGAACAUUAGCUAGUUGGCAGGGUAACGGCCUACCAAGGCUACGAUGUUUAGGGGACCUGAGAGGGUGAUCCCCCACACUGGUACUGAGACACGGACUAGACUCCUACGGGAGGCAGCAGUGAGGAAUAUUGGUCAAUGGGCGCAAGCCUGAACCAGCCAUCCCGCGUGCAGGAAGACGGCGCUAUGCGUUGUAAACUGCUUUUCCAGGGGGUGAAACUCUCGUACGAGUACGGGAUUGACGGUACCCUGGGAAUAAGCAUCGGCUAACUCCGUGCCAGCAGCCGCCGUAAUAC
rnacentral:rRNA from 1 species